rnacentral:rRNA from 1 species
AUUGAACGCUGGCGGCAUGCCUUACACAUGCAAGUCGAACGGCAGCACGGGAGCAAUCCUGGUGGCGAGUGGCGAACGGGUGAGUAAUAUAUCGGAACGUGCCCAGUAGUGGGGGAUAACUGCUCGAAAGAGCAGCUAAUACCGCAUACGACCUGAGGGUGAAAGGGGGGGAUCGCAAGACCUCUCGCUAUUGGAGCGGCCGAUAUCAGAUUAGCUAGUUGGUGGGGUAAAGGCCUACCAAGGCAACGAUCUGUAGUUGGUCUGAGAGGACGACCAGCCACACUGGGACUGAGACACGGCCCAGACUCCUACGGGAGGCAGCAGUGGGGAAUUUUGGACAAUGGGCGCAAGCCUGAUCCAGCAAUGCCGCGUGCAGGAAGAAGGCCUUCGGGUUGUAAACUGCUUUGUCAGGGAAGAAAUCCUCUAGGUUAAUACCCUUAGGGGGAGUGACGGUACCUGAAGAAUAAGCACCGGCUAACUACGUGCCAGCA